rnacentral:tRNA from 1 species
AUCUGGGUGGCUCAGUCGGUUGAGCAUCUGACUUCAGCUCAGGUCAUGAUCUCACAGCUCGUGGGGUCAAGCCCCACGUCAGGCU